rnacentral:rRNA from 1 species
GACGAACGCUGGCGGCGUGCUUAACACAUGCAAGUCGAACGGAAAGGCCUCUUUCGGGGGGUACUCGAGUGGCGAACGGGUGAGUAACACGUGAGUAACCUGCCCUUGACUUUGGGAUAACUUCAGGAAACUGGGGCUAAUACCGGAUAGGAGCUCUUGCUGCAUGGUGGGGGUUGGAGAGUUUCGGCGGUUGGGGAUGGACUCGCGGCUUAUCAGCUUGUUGGUGGGGUAGUGGCUUACCAAGGCUUUGACGGGUAGCCGGCCUGAGAGGGUGACCGGCCACAUUGGGACUGAGAUACGGCCCAGACUCCUACGGGAGGCAGCAGUGGGGAAUAUUGCACAAUGGGUGGAAGCCUGAUGCAGCAACGCCGUGUGCGGGAUGACGGCCUUCGGGUUGUAAACCGCUUUCGCUCAUGACGAAGCUUUGUGUGACGGUAGUGGGUAAAGAAGCACCGGCUAACUACGUG